GUUCAAUCCCAGAGGCCCUGCAGGAACACGAUAAAUGCAGUGAAUUUGAUAACACCAGUGGAGAAGAUUUUCCCCAAUUGACACAAGAAAUGGCUCAGAAAUGUUCAAACCAAGAAAUUCUGCAGGGUAACGAGAAAUUCAGCAAAUCUAAAAUAGCUGAUGAAGACGAGGAGUUGUCCUAGUUAGAACAGGCUCAAGAAUAUUCAAACCUAGAACACCCGCAAGUCAACAAGAAAUGGAGUGAAUCUAAUAUGGCUGACGAAGUAUUUACCUAUUUAAAAUCC